UAUGAGCUUAGGUGGUGAAAUGUUAAAGUUGAAAACUUGAAAUAUGGGCCAAAGUGUUAUUUGAAAGAAGUUUAGGGUUUUAGCUUGGAUUUCAAAAGAUGGAUUAAUUCUAGUUUUGGAUUUCAAAAGCCACUCAAUUAUGGCUUUGAGUCUUUGGAGUCCAUGGCUAAGAUUGUGACAAGUGGCAUAACACCAUUGGUUGAAGGAUUCUAUAAAUAGGCACCUUGAGUUGCUCUCAAACCAUUCCAAACAAAUUUGAGGAGUUAAGCACUCUAAGAGGAGGAGCUUACUCUAGAGAGAGAGAAGGAGGUUCGGCAAGAAGGCGGGGAAGAAAGCAGCGAAGAAGCGGCGGAGAACGAGCCUCGUCGGAGUUGCGGGUCUUCGCCGGAAUUCACCAAAAUCAGUCAAUAAAAAGGUGAGGUAAGUCCAAUUUUUUUUGAUAAUCUUGUAGAGGGGGAAGAUAGGGUUGCGUAGGUUCAAACGGGGGUCGAAUCGGAGUUAAAACGAGGGAGAUAUGGCCGAAAUACCAAACCGACACGUUGCUGUUCGGAAUCUGGUGCCUGCGCGUGAGUUACACGCGCCAAAUAAUGGCUGCGCGUGGGGGCGCGUGGCCAGCCUUCUUGGGGCGCGUGAGGGCGCGUGAAAGAAACCUAGGCCGUUUGCUAUAAAUUAUAUCGUCGAAGAGAUAACUCAAUAAGGUUCGACGAGCGGCUUUAAAGGAAAGGAGGUAGCUGAAGAAUAAGUUUAAUUUGCUGUCUAUAGCAUGUUUAGAAUAUUUUCAUUUAUAUGCGAACCUAUGUAUGUCUUGGAUAUGUUUAAGACGUUCAGUUAUAUCUUGCGAGAGAUGAUGUCCAUGUAAUUCAUUUUGUAAACGUCUUGAACAAUUUUAUGAUAAAUAAAGU